GACGAACGCUGGCGGCGUGCUUAACACAUGCAAGUCGAACGGAAAGGCCCUGCUUUUGUGGGGUGCUCGAGUGGCGAACGGGUGAGUAACACGUGAGUAACCUGCCCUUGACUUUGGGAUAACUUCAGGAAACUGGGGCUAAUACCGGAUAGGAUCUCCUGCUGCAUGGUGGGGGUUGGAAAGUUUCGGCGGUUGGGGAUGGACUCGCGGCUUAUCAGCUUGUUGGUGGGGUAGUGGCUUACCAAGGCUUUGACGGGUAGCCGGCCUGAGAGGGUGACCGGCCACAUUGGGACUGAGAUACGGACCAGACUCCUACGGGAGGCAGCAGUGGGGAAUAUUGCAGAAUGGGCGGAAGCCUGAUGCAGCAACGCCGCGUGCGGGAUGACGGCCUUCGGGUGGUAAACCGAUUUCGCCUGUGACGAAGCGUGAGUGACGGUAAUGGGUAAAGAAGCACCGGCUAACUACGUG
rnacentral:rRNA from 1 species